rnacentral:rRNA from 1 species
GACGAACGCUGGCGGCGUGCUUAACACAUGCAAGUCGAACGGAAAGGCCCUUCGGGGUACUCGAGUGGCGAACGGGUGAGUAACACGUGGGUGAUCUGCCCUGCACUUUGGGAUAAGCCUGGGAAACUGGGUCUAAUACCGAAUAGGACCACGCGCUUCAUGGUGUGUGGUGGAAAGCUUUUGCGGUGUGGGAUGGGCCCGCGGCCUAUCAGCUUGUUGGUGGGGUAAUGGCCUACCAAGGCGACGACGGGUAGCCGGCCUGAGAGGGUGACCGGCCACACUGGGACUGAGAUACGGCCCAGACUCCUACGGGAGGCAGCAGUGGGGAAUAUUGCACAAUGGGCGCAAGCCUGAUGCAGCGACGCCGCGUGAGGGAUGACGGCCUUCGGGUUGUAAACCUCUUUCAAUAGGGACGAAGCGCAAGUGACGGUACCUAUAGAAGAAGCACCGGCCAACUACGUGCCAGCAGCCGCGGUAAUACGUAGGGUGCGAGCGUUGUCCGGAAUUACUGGGCGUAAAGAGCUCGUAGGUGGUUUGUCGCGUUGUUCGUGAAAACUCACAGCUUAACUGUGGGCGUGCGGGCGAUACGGGCAGACUAGAGUACUGCAGGGGAGACUGGAAUUCCUGGUGUAGCGGUGGAAUGCGCAGAUAUCAGGAGGAACACCGGUGGCGAAGGCGGGUCUCUGGGCAGUAACUGACGCUGAGGAGCGAAAGCGUGGGGAGCGAACAGGAUUAGAUACCCUGGUAGUCCACGCCGUAAACGGUGGGUACUAGGUGUGGGUUCCUUCCUUGGGAUCCGUGCCGUAGCUAACGCAUUAAGUACCCCGCCUGGGGAGUACGGCCGCAAGGCUAAAACUCAAAGGAAUUGACGGGGGCCCGCACAAGCGGCGGAGCAUGUGGAUUAAUUCGAUGCAACGCGAAGAACCUUACCUGGGUUUGACAUGCACAGGACGCCGGCAGAGAUGUCGGUUCCCUUGUGGCCUGUGUGCAGGUGGUGCAUGGCUGUCGUCAGCUCGUGUCGUGAGAUGUUGGGUUAAGUCCCGCAACGAGCGCAACCCUUGUCCUAUGUUGCCAGCGGGUUAUGCCGGGGACUCGUAGGAGACUGCCGGGGUCAACUCGGAGGAAGGUGGGGAUGACGUCAAGUCAUCAUGCCCCUUAUGUCCAGGGCUUCACACAUGCUACAAUGGCCGGUACAAAGGGCUGCGAUGCCGUGAGGUGGAGCGAAUCCUUUCAAAGCCGGUCUCAGUUCGGAUCGGGGUCUGCAACUCGACCCCGUGAGGUCGGAGUCGCUAGUAAUCGCAGAUCAGCAACGCUGCGGUGAAUACGUUCCCGGGCCU